rnacentral:rRNA from 1 species
UACGUAGGGGGCAAGCGUUGUCCGGAAUUACUGGGCGUAAAGGGUUCGUAGGUGGCUUGUUAAGUCAGACGUGAAAUCCCUCGGCUCAACCGGGGAACUGCGUCUGAGACUGAUGAGCUCGAGCGCAGGAGAGGAACGCGGAAUUCCAGGUGUAGCGGUGAAAUGCGUAGAUAUCUGGAGGAACACCGGUGGCGAAGGCGGCUCACUGGCCCGAUACUGACGCUGAGGCACGAAAGCGUGGGGAGCAAACAGG